rnacentral:rRNA from 1 species
UACGUAGGGUGCGAGCGUUAAUCGGAAUUACUGGGCGUAAAGCGUGCGCAGGCGGCCGCGCAAGUCGAGUGUGAAAGCCCCGAGCUUAACUUGGGAAUUGCGCUCGAAACUACGUGGCUGGAGUGUGGCAGAGGAAGGUGGAAUUCCAGGUGUAGCGGUGAAAUGCGUAGAGAUCUGGAGGAACACCGAUGGCGAAGGCAGCCUUCUGGGCCAACACUGACGCUCAUGCACGAAAGCGUGGGUAGCAAACAGG